rnacentral:tRNA from 1 species
GGUCUUAUAUUCACAUAGUGAUAAUAGAAUGCAAUUCUAUGGGGGUAGUUAGUUACUACUAAGGCUU